rnacentral:tRNA from 1 species
AAGAAUUUAGUUAAAUUAUAACAUUAGUUUGUCAUUCUAAAAUUACUAAAAAUUAUAGUAUUUCUUA